rnacentral:lncRNA from 1 species
AGGUCCAGUACCUCAUCAACAACGGCUGGGCUCCCUGCAUCGAGUUCGAGGGUGCCGGCAAGGCGUACUGCGACACCCACGGCUGGUCCGGCCUCGACUCCUCCGUCAACGCGGGCUACUACGACAACCGCUACUGGGUGAUGUGGAAGCUCCCCAUGUACGGCUGCACCUCUCCGGAUGAGGUCCUCGCCGAGGUCCGCGCGUGCACCCGCGCGUUCCCCGACUGCUUCAUUCGCGUCGCGGGUUUCGACAACAUCAAGCAGGUCCAGUGCUCCUCCUUC